GACGAACGCUGGCGGCGUGCUUAACACAUGCAAGUCGAACGGAAAGGCCCUUCGGUGGACUCUAUUAGCUAACGGGUGGGUAACUCGUUGGUGAGUUGCCCUGCACUUUAGGAUAAGCGUGUGACACUGGGUCUAAUACCGUAUUGGACCACGACAUUCAUAUGCGGUUGUGGAAAUCUUUUGCGGUGUUGGAGGGGUCCGCGGCGUAUCAGCUCGUUGGUGGGGUAAUGGCUUACCAAGGCGAAGACGGGUAGCCGGCCUGGGAGCGGGACCGGCCACAAUGGGACUACGAUACGGCCCAGUCGGGUACGGGAGGCAGCAGUGGGGAGUAUUACAGAAUGGGCGCAAGCGUGAUGCAGCGACGCCGCGUGCGUGAUGACGGCUUUCGGGUUGUAAACCUCUUUCGCCAGGGACGAAGCGCACGUGACGGUACCUGGAGAAGAAGGACCGGCUAACUACGUG
rnacentral:rRNA from 1 species